AUGUUCAGUUAUGGCACAAAAUCGAGACUUCAACGCACAUCUAACAUCGAUACAACCUCGGUAUCCAGAUUUAAUAAAACAAUAUGGUAUCGAUACGAUACGAUACUUCGCACAACCAAAACAUAUACUGUCAACAAUUUUUUUUUUUACAGAUUUUCUCAUAAUAACAUUUCCAAAACAGAUCAACUUAUUAACACAAACAGCAACAUUUUUACUCAAAAGAUAUCAAACAUAGACAUUAUCAACAAAUUGCUUUCAAAAUCUAUCACGGCAUAA